rfam:Beta vulgaris subsp. vulgaris 1096.scaffold01696.con0001.1, whole genome shotgun sequence.
ACCAAGGAGUCUAACAUGUGCGCGAGUCGUUGGGCACGUACGAAACCCGGAGGCGCAGUGAAAGCAAAGGUCAUCUUCCGGUGGCCUAGGUAGGAUCCGGCGAGGGUUACACCGAGCCGGCGCACUACCGGCCCGUCUCGAUCGUAACGUCGAUGAGGCGGCGCAAGAGCGUACACGUUGGGACCCGAAAGAUGGUGAACUAUGCCU